rnacentral:rRNA from 1 species
AAUGAACGCUGGCGGCAGGCCUAACACAUGCAAGUCGAGCGGAGCGGCGGACGGGUGAGUAAUGCCUAGGAAUCUGCCUGGUAGUGGGGGAUAACGUCCGGAAACGGGCGCUAAUAACGCAAACUAUCAGACGAGCAUAGGUCGGAUUGGAUAGUUGGGGGGGUAAAGGCCUACCAAGGCGACGAUCCGUAACUGGUCUGAGAGGAUGAUCAGUCACACUGGAACUGAGACCCGGUCCAGACUCCGACGGUAGGCAGCAGUGGGGAAGAUUGGACAAUGGGCUAAGGCCUGAGCCAGCCAUGCCGCGUGUGUGAAGAAGGUCUUCGGAUUGUAAAGCACUUUAAGUUGGGAGGCGUUACCAUCAGAAUAAGCACCGGCUAACUUCGUGCCAGCAGCCGCGGUAAUUC